AUGGAGAUAAUAACAAGAGAGAAAAGAAAUUGAGGGUGUAACUACACAGUAAAAGAUAUCAGAAUUCACUUGCAUUCACUCAUUGUGCAUUCACUCACUGUGGAUUCACUCGCUGUGCAUUCACUCGCUGUGGAUUUGCAGGGAGGACUCUGGGCUGAUCUGCAUUUCCCUUCAUGUCAAGUGGUCAUAGUGGGAAAAUAUGAAUCAGCCUGUCCUAUACUCAUAGUACUUUUCCCCCCAGUGUAGUUGCACUCUCAGGCAGCAUCAGAACUCGCCCAGAAUUAUGCAUCUCAACUACAAGAUGACAGGAAAUAAUUAUUUCAUUUCUUCACCUUCAGUACGCAGGACAGAUGUUCUACCAUGAUCCUACACAUUUCUGCAAAAGCACAAGACGUGGAUGCAGUAGGACCUCUUCUGGCAAAAGCUUGUCAUCUACAACAAUUACCAGCCUUGACCAACUGGUGUCCAAUUUGUGAGCUGUCACAAUUGAACCAGUAGAAGAAGUAGAGACCAUUUUGC